CCCUGCCCCACCUUAACUGAUGACAUUCCACCACAAAAGAAGUGUAAAUGGCCGGUCCUUGCCUUAAGUGAUGACAUUACCUUGUGAAAGUCCUUUUCCUGGCUCAUCCUGGCUCAAAAAGCACUCCCACUGAGCACCUUGCGACCCCCACUCCUGCCUGCCAGAGAACAACCCCCCUUUGACUGUAAUUUUCCUUUACCUACCCAAAUCCUAUAAAACGGCCCCACCCCAUCUCCCUUCACUGACUCUCUUUUCGGACUCAGCCCUCCUGCACCCAGGUGAUUAAAAGCUUUAUUGCUCACACAAAGCCUGUUUGGUGGUCUCUUCACACAGACGCGCAUGAAAUUUGGUGCCGUGACUUGGAUCGGGGGACCUCCCUUGGGAGCUCAAUCCCCUGUCCUCCUGUUCUUUGCUCCGUGAGAAAGAUCCACCUACGACCUCAGGUCCUCAGACUGACCAGCCCAAGGAACAUCUCACCAAUUUUAAAUCAGGUAAGCAGCCUCUUCUUACUCUCUUCUCCAACCUCUCUCACUGUCCCUCAACCACUUUCUCCUUUCCACUCUUCAAUCUCUCCCUUCUCUUAAUUUCAAUUCCUUUCAUUUUCUGGGAGAGACAAAGGAGACACGUUUUAUCCGUGGACCCAAAACUCCGGCACUGGUCAUGGACUGGGAAGGCAGCCUUCCCUUGGUGUUUAAUCAAUGCAGGGACGCCUCUCUGAUUAUUCACCCACAUUUCAAAGGUGUCAGACCACGCAGGGACGCCUGCCUUGGUCCUUCACCCUUAGCGGCAAGUCCCACUUUUCUGGGAAAGGGGCAAGUACCCCAACCCCUUCUCUCCUUGUCUCUACCCCUUCUCUGCUUUUCUGGGGGAGGGGCAAGUACCCCUCAACCCCUUCUCCUUCACCCUUAGCAGCAAGUCCCGCUUUUCUGGUGGAGGGGCAAGUACCACAACCUCAUAUCUCUGCGCCCCAAUCCCUUAUUUACGUGCCCCAACCUCUUAUAUCUCUGCACCCCAACCCCUUAUUUCUGUGCCCCAACCCCUUAUUUCCAUGCCCCGACCCCUUAUUUCUGCACCCCAUCCCUUAUUUCCACGCCCUGACCUCUUAUCUCUUGCCCCAACCCCUUUUCCCACUUUUCUGGAAGGUAAGAACCCCCAAACCCCUUCCCUCUGUUUCUCUACUCUCUCUUUUCUCUAGGCUUGCUUCCUUCACUAUAGGCAAGCUUCCACCCUCCAUUCCUCCUUCUACUCUCUUGGCCUGUGUUCUCAAAAACUUAAAACCUCUUCAACUCACACCUGACCUAAAACCUAAAUGCCUUAUUUUCUUCUGCAAUGCCGCUUGACCCCAAUACAAACUCAACAGUAGUUCCAAAUAGCCAGAAAACGGCACUUUGAAUUUUUCCAUCCUGCAAGAUCUAAAUAAUUCUUGUCGUAAAAUAGGCAAACGGUCUGAGGUGCCUGACGUCCAGGCAUUCUUUUACACAUCAGUCCCUUCAUAGUCUCUGUGCCCAGUGCAACUCAUCCCAAAUCUUCCUUCUUUCCCUCCCGCCUGUCCCCUCAGUGCCAACACCAAGCCUAGCUGAGUCUUUCUAAUCUUCCUUUUCUACAGACCCAUCUGACCUCUCCCUUCCUCCCCAGGCUGCUCCUCGCCAGGCCGAGCUAGGUCCCAAUUCUUCCUCAGCCUCUGCUCCUCCACCCUAUAAUCCUUUUAUCACCUCCCCUCCUCACACCUGGUCCGGCUUACAGUUUCCUUCCGUGACUAGCCCUCCCCCUCCUGCCCAGCAAUUUACUCUUAAAAAGGUGGCUGGAGCUAAAGGUGUAGUCAAGGUUAAUGCUCCUUUUACUUUAUCCCAAAUCAGAUAGCGUUUAGGCUCUUUUUCAUCAAAUAUAAAAAUCCAGCCCAGUUCAUGACUUGUUUGGCAGCAACACUGAGACACUUUACAGCCCUAGACCCUAAAAGGUCAAAAGGCCGUCGUAUUCUCAAAAUACAUUUUAUUACCCAAUCUGCUCCCGACAUUAAAUAAAACUCCAAAAAUUAAAUUCCGGCCCUCAAACCCCACAACAGGAUUUAAUCAACCUCGCCUUCAAGGUGUACAAUAAUAGAAAAAAGUUGCAAUUCCUUGCCUCCACUGUGAGACAAACCCCAGCCACAUCUCCAGCACACAAGAACUUCCAAACGCCUGAACCGCAGCGGCCAGGCGUUCCUCCAGAACCUCCUCCCCCAGGAGCUUGCUACACAUGCCGGAAAUCUGGCCACUGGGCCAAGGAAUGCCCGAAGCCCGGGAUUCCUCCUAAGCCGCGUCCCAUCUGUGUGGGACCCCAUUGAAAAUCGGACCGUUCAACUCACCUGGCAGCCACUCCCAGAGCCCCUGGAACUCUGGCCCAAGGCUCUCUGACUCCUUCCCAGAUCUUCUCGGCUUUGCGGCUGAAGACUGACACCGCCUGAUCGCCUCGGAAGCCCCCUAGACCAUCACGGACGCUGAGCUUCAGGUUCCCACGCUGCCCCUAAUCCCGCUUGAAGCAGCCCUGAGAAACAUCGCCCAUUCUCUCUCCAUACCACCCCCCAAAAAUUUUCACCGCCCCAACACUUCAACACUAUUUUGUUUUAUUUUUCUUAUUAAUAUAAGAAGGCAGAAAGGUCAGGCCUCUGAGCCCAAGCCAAGCCAUCGCAUCCCCCUGUGAUUUGCACGUAUACGCCCAGAUGGCCUGAAGUAACUGAAGAAUCACAAAAGAAGUGAAUAUGCCCUGCCCCACCUUAACUGAUGACAUUCCACCACAAAAGAAGUGUAAAUGGCCGGUCCUUGCCUUAAGUGAUGACAUUACCUGUGAAAGUCCUUUUCCUGGCUCAUCCUGGCUCGAAAACACCCACACUGAGCACCUUGCGACCCCCACUCCUGCCCGCCAGAGAACAACCCCCCUUUGACUGUAAUUUUCCUUUACCUACCCAAAUCCUAUAAAACGGCCCCACCCCUAUCUCCCUUCACUGACUCUCUUUUUGGACUCAGCCCACCUGCACCCAGGUGAUUAAAAGCUUUAUUGCUCACACAAAGCCUGUUUGGUGGUCUCUUCACACGGACGUGCAUGAAACCUUAGUACCUUGAAUCAAAAGCCACUGGCCUUGUUCAAAUCCUAAGAAUCCCUUCUGAAUCUUUGUGCGCACAGUUACAGCUUCAACAAAAUGAGAAACUGACAUUUAAUCUGACAUUUAUUCAUUCAUUCAACAAAUAUUUGUUGAACACUUGCCAUUGUUACCAAUGGCAGGUAUCUGAGUUACCAGCGGUGAAUCCAAACUGUAACACUAUGAGCCAGGAAUUGUUUUAGGUAGUUGUUAUGCAUCUGUGAACAAACAAAAAGAUUCCUGCCCUCCUGGGGCAUAUUGAAAUAUAGAAAGUGAGUAUGAUAUGAAAAGACUUUAGAGAACUCUGAAAAUACCAUGAAUUAAUGCCAUGAAUUGAUGAGUUAGUAGAAUCCAACAUAACUGAAAUAUGAAAUCUAAAAACGAAUAUAUCUAAUAAUUUAUAGGUCUGACCCUAAAAAUCUAUUAAGAUAUUUUUGAGGUAGGAAUUUACUCUCUGUUACUGCCACUUAAGGAGCUGCCAAUAAUUCUCACAAAUAAUCAAAAGAAUCAAUCUUUCCUGUCCAUCUAAUUCUCCAGAGCUUAUUGAGAUUCUGCAAAGGAAAAAAAUAACUCUGGCUUCCCAUGGAAAUGCAAAUUCAUGGGACCCUCCCUGCCCUUUCCAUUAAUGGGCAGCCCAGGUGAUUCUUAAGUAGAUGACCCUGAGAAUCAAACUUUGAAAAUUCAAAUUGCUGCUUUUCCCUUAGCUAAUGACCUAUAUUAAAUUACAUUUACUACAGGGAAGGCAGAGUUGCCUUUUGCUCAGGUGUGUCAGCCAGCGGUUAGUUUUUUGUCUUGAAAUGCAAACGUUUUAUAGCACUUUUUUUCAAGUAUGUGUGGCACCCAUUCUCAAUCCCUGAUGCUAGGAAGGAGAUGGAUUUCUAUUCAAUUAGUUUUUAAAGGAUAUUCUGAAAGAAAUGGAGCCUUACUCUUGAAAGGAAGGAAGUAUGAAGGGGAUUGAUAGAGUUGUUCUCGAUUUUAUUUUGCAUCUACAAUUUAAUUACAACUGCCUUUAAGAAGUGACUUCUUAGUCUGAUAAAUGCAAUAACAACUUGAUGACUGAGAAAGUGACUCAAUAAAUUACUGAAAAUCUAUCACAUUACUUUGCAAACAGACAAAAUAGUCAAACAAAAAUCAAAUUAUUACUCUGAGAUUUUUUUCAUGGGUGUGUUUGAUAGUUAUACUUGUGUUUCUCUUAAUUUUAACUGAUGGUCUAUGCUAAAUUAGAAAAAAUUAAAUAUUAUAUAGACACUUCUUGAGUAAUAGGGGUUUUCAUUAGGCAGUUUGGUUUUAAAAUGUUCAAAUUUUUCUAAGAGUGCACUUGGUUAUACACCAAGCUUGUUCAACCUGUGGCCUGCAGGCUGUAUGUGACCCAGGACAGCUUAGAAUGUGGCUCAACACAAAUUCGUAAACUUUCUUAAAACAUUAUGAUUUUUUUUGUGUGAUUUUUUUUUUUUUUUUUUUUUUU